GGUAGAGCUCAGUGGUAGAGCAUGUGCUUAGCAUGCAUGAGGUCCUGGGUUCAAUCCCCAUGACCA
rfam:Camelus ferus unplaced genomic scaffold scaffold852, whole genome shotgun sequence.